UACGUAGGGAGCAAACGUUGUCCGGAAUUACUGGGUGUAAAGGGAGCGUAGGCGGGAUGGCAAGUUGGGUGUUAAAUCUACCGGCUCAACUGGUAGUCGCACUCAAAACUGCUAUUCUUGGGUGAAGUAGAGGCAGGCGGAAUUCCUAGUGUAGCGGUGAAAUGCGUAGAUAUUAGGAGGAACACCAGUGGCGAAGGCGGCCUGCUGGGCUUUUACUGACGCUGAGGCUCGAAAGUGUGGGGAGCAAACAGG
rnacentral:rRNA from 1 species